rnacentral:rRNA from 1 species
GAACGGACGAGAAGCUUGCUUUUCUGAUGUUAGCGGCGGACGGGUGAGUAACACGUGGAUAACCUACCUAUAAGACUGGGAUAACUUCGGGAAACCAGAGCUAAUACCGGAUAAUAUUUUGAACCGCAUGGUUCAAAAGUGAAAGACGGUCUUGCUGUCACUUAUAGAUGGAUCCGCGCUGCAUUAGCUAGUUGGUAAGGUAACGGCUUACCAAGGCAACGAUGCAUAGCCGACCUGAGAGGGUGAUCGGCCACACUGGAACUGAGACUCGGUCCAGACUCCUACGGGAGGCAGCAGUAGGGAAUCUUCCGCAAUAGGCGAAAGCCUGACGGAGCAACGCCGCGUGAGUGAUGAAGGUCUUCGGAUCGUAAAACCCUGUUAUUAGGGAAGAACAUAUGUGUAAGUAACUGUGCACAUCUUGACGGUACCUAAUCAGAAAGCCACGGCUAACUACGUGCCAGCAGCCGCGGUAAUACGUAGGUGGCAAGCGUUAUCCGGAAUUAUUGGGCGUAAAGCGCGCGUAGGCGGUUUUUUAAGUCUGAUGUGAAAGCCCACGGCUCAACCGUGGAGGGUCAUUGGAAACUGGAAAACUUGAGUGCAGAAGAGGAAAGUGGAAUUCCAUGUGUAGCGGUGAAAUGCGCAGAGAUAUGGAGGAACACCAGUGGCGAAGGCGACUUUCUGGUCUGUAACUGACGC